rnacentral:lncRNA from 1 species
CGGCCUCCGCUCGUCAUCCCAUUCUCUGCUUUCCCCGGCACGUCAUUGGCUGCGGCUCCGCAGAAAAGUCCGCGGAGCCCCGCCCACAAUGACAGUACCAGCGGAUAGCGGGAGGCAGCCUUGGCACCGACUGGCUGCUGGCACCCUGGCGGAGGGCCGCUCGCGGCCGCCUGGGCUCCCCGACGAGCCCCCACUCUGGCGGAAGAAUACCGGGGGGCGGCGCGGGGGGGCAGGCUGAUGGGGGUCUGCGCUGUGCUGGAUGCCGGGGAGGAACCAUGUCGCAGCUGGGAGGGACCCCAGAAAAGGCAAUGUCAGAGGGCCCUCCCCAUCCUGGAUACUGUAUAGAUAAGAUCAUGUCUGGGAUAUUGGAUUCAGUUCAAAAAGAUGUUAGUAAUAUGAAGAGAAUUCACAGAAGGAAGACAAUUAAGGUGAUGAUGGAUUUCAAGUCUUUGAUGAUUGAUUAAAGCAACUGGGAUGAAUAAGAGAUGACUUAGAGGUGGUGAUGGAUCUUCAAAUCUCAGACUGAGAGGGUUCUUCAGAGGCCAUCUAAUCUGACCCCUCCCUAAAGUAUAGAUAUUCUUUACAACGUUCCCAACAAACAGGCAACUAAUGUCAGUUUAAAGAUUUUCAGUGCAGGAGAGCUCACUUACCUUACAAAGUACACUUCCCAUGCUGUUUUGGACAGCUCUAGCCUAAGCUGAUUCUUGUUUUCACUCAGCUAAAACUGCCUCCCAACCUUAAGUUUGAACUUGUGAAGUUCAAAUGAUGAUGUCACCCACUCAAUAAAUAAUAUUUGAAGAAUAAUUUGC